AUACGGAGGGAGCAAGCGUUAUUCGGAAUCACUGGGCGUAAAGGACGCGGAGGCGGGUUUGUAAGUCAGGUGUGAAAUCCUACAGCUCAACUGUAGAACUGCACUUGAAACUACAGACCUAGAGUAUGGAAGGGGCAGAUGGAAUUAGUGGUGUAGGGGUAAAAUCCGUAGAUAUCACUAGGAAUACCGAAAGCGAAGGCGAUCUGCUGGGACAUUACUGACGCUGAGGCGUGAAAGCGUGGGGAGCAAACAGGAUUAGAUACCCCGGUAGUCC
rnacentral:rRNA from 1 species